rnacentral:rRNA from 1 species
GAGUUUGAUCCUGGCUCAGGAUGAACGCUGGCGGCAUGCCUAAUACAUGCAAGUCGAACGAGAGGAAGGAAAGCUUGCUUUUCUGAAUCUAGUGGCGAACGGGUGAGUAACACGUAGGUAACCUGCCCAUGUGCCCGGGAUAACUUCUGGAAACGGAUGCUAAAACCGGAUAGGUAGCAGACAAGCAUUUGACUGCUAUUAAAGUGGCUAAGGCCAUGAACAUGGAUGGACCUGCGGUGCAUUAGCUAGUUGGUGAGGUAACGGCCCACCAAGGCGACGAUGCAUAGCCGGCCUGAGAGGGCGGACGGCCACAUUGGGACUGAGACACGGCCCAAACUCCUACGGGAGGCAGCAGUAGGGAAUUUUCGUCAAUGGGGGGAACCCUGAACGAGCAAUGCCGCGUGAGUGAAGAAGGUCUUCGGAUCGUAAAGCUCUGUUGUAAGAGAAAAACGACAUUCAUAGGGAAUGAUGAGUGAGUGAUGGUAUCUUACCAGAAAGUCACGGCUAACUACGUGCCAGCAGCCGCGGUAAUACGUAGGUGGCGAGCGUUAUCCGGAAUGAUUGGGCGUAAAGGGUGCGUAGGUGGCAGAACAAGUCUGGAGUAAAAGGUAUGGGCUCAACCCGUACUGGCUCUGGAAACUGUUCAGCUAGAGAACAGAAGAGGACGGCGGAACUCCAUGUGUAGCGGUAAAAUGCGUAGAUAUAUGGAAGAACACCGGUGGCGAAGGCGGCCGUCUGGUCUGUUGCUGACACUGAAGCACGAAAGCGUGGGGAGCAAAUAGGAUUAGAUACCCUAGUAGUCCACGCCGUAAACGAUGAGAACUAGGUGUUGGGGGAAUAACUCAGUGCCGCAGUUAACGCAAUAAGUUCUCCGCCUGGGGAGUAUGCACGCAAGUGUGAAACUCAAAGGAAUUGACGGGGGCCCGCACAAGCGGUGGAG